ACAUUCUGAGACUGAAGCUUUCAAA
rnacentral:piRNA from 1 species